rnacentral:lncRNA from 1 species
CAGUUAUGUAAAAAGUCAUCAUUGGCAAUGAUUGAAUGUGGUUCGAAAAAUUUCUACAUCAGGGAAGGAGAAAAAAUUGCAUGAAGAGUCAUUGGUGACUGGGAUCAAAUGCUGUGCGAAAACUUCUACAUCUGGGAAAGAGACAGAGUUGAAUGAAGAGUCAUUGGUGACUGGGAUCAAAUGCAGGGCGAAAACUUCCAAGUCAGGGAAAGAGACAGAAUUAUGUGAAGAGUCAUCAAUGGCGAGGAUCAAAUGCAGUGCAGAAACUUCCACAUCAGGGAAAGAGACAUUUCGCCAUGAAGUACACAGUGCUGUUAUUUCCAGUUUGCAUUCUUGCGAUGAUUGUAGUGGUCCUAUGUUAAGUAGAAAAUGAAGACUUCAACUUGCAAAUACACCAAAUCAAGGAAAGUUAUGAUAAAAUUAUGGAGCACACUGAAGUGGAUGCAGUCAUGGAACAUUUUAAAAGGACACCUCACCACAAAAGCAGAGCGUGAUCAAUGCAAGAUAGCAGAAGACAAAGUUUUUUUCCCUCUCCGCUGUCGCGACCAGCUUGCAUGGCUUGGGAUCGGUAGAGCUACACAUCGAUGAAUUUGCUCUUUAGUGUUUGAACUCUCAGUAAUGAUUUAAAUCACACUGAACUGAGCUAAACUGAACUGAACUUAAACACUAAAAACUGAACUACCCUGAUCCAGUUACUAUGACCAUUUAUGUAAAGCUGCUUUGACACCAUUUACAUUGUAAAAGCGCUAUACAAAUAAAGCU